UUCACAGAAACUUCAUCUCGGUUCUGCUUCCUGCGUCCCUUGUUGCAGGCAGAAGCUGCAUGCCGCGAGGCGGUGAUAACAAGUCUGAGAAGGUCUGAACCAGGGACAGAAAGACUUAAAAGACUGACUCCUGUCUCAGAAUAGAUACAAGCUGGGCUUUGACCUUUAGACCUCCCAGUAACAAAAGUAUGAGCUUCACCAUAAACACCAGAUGAGCAACAAGAUUAUCUUUUAUGGGUUUGCUACAGGAUGUUUCAUUCUGGGAGUGAGGUGAAAAAAUAGUUUAAAAUCAAAAAUGUCAGUGAGGUUUUGAAGAACAGAAAAAGGAGGCUCCUCAAACCUGUUACCUUCGUCCAAAGAGGGAUACCUGGAAAAGAGCCUGGUGGAUAAUCAGCUGAACACGAGGUCCCUGGAAAAUAGCCUGCUGCCGCCAUGGAAACUUACAUUUCAGUAGGAGUGCGCGUGCUUCUUUAAUGGCUGAAUGACUAUACUGUUUCUGAGGGUCCUGUGGCACC